rnacentral:rRNA from 1 species
GUGGGGAAUUUUGGACAAUGGGCGCAAGCCUGAUCCAGCAAUGCCGCGUGCAGGAAGAAGGCCUUCGGGUUGUAAACUGCUUUUGUACGGAACGAAAAGGCUCUGGUUAAUACCUGGGGCUCAUGACGGUACCGUAAGAAUAAGCACCGGCUAACUACGUGCCAGCAGCCGCGAUAAUACGUAGGGUGCAAGCGUUAAUCGGAAUUACUGGGCGUAAAGCGUGCGCAGGCGGUUUUGUAAGACAGGCGUGAAAUCCCCGGGCUCAACCUGGGAAUGGCGUUUGUGACUGCAAAGCUGGAGUGCGGGAGGGGGGGAUGGAAUUCCGCGUGUAGCAGUGAAAUGCGUAGAUAUGCGGAGGAACACCGAUGGCGAAGGCAAUCCCCUGGGCCUGCACUGACGCUCAUGCACGAAAGCGUGGGGAGCAAACAGGAUUAGAAACCCGGGUAGUCC